GACAGAGGUCCCGAGCGUUAGGCGGAAUCACUGGGCUUAAAGCGUGUGUAGGCGGAGUUCCAAGUACCUUGUGAAAUCCCACGGCUCAACCGUGGAACUGCUUGGCAUACUGGUUCUCUUGAGCCACCUAGGGGCAACCGGAACAAACGGUGGAGCGGUGAAAUGCGUAGAUAUCGUUUGGAACGCCAAUGGUGAAAACAGGUUGCUGGGGGUGUGCUGACGCUGAGACACGAAAGCCAGGGGAGCAAACGGG
rnacentral:rRNA from 1 species